UGAGGAAUAUUGGUCAAUGGGCGGGAGCCUGAACCAGCCAAGUCGCGUGAGGGAAGACGGCCCUAUGGGUCGUAAACCUCUUUUGUCAGGGAACAAAAGCGAGUAUGUAUGCUUGUCUGAGUGUACCUGAAGAAAAAGCAUCGGCUAACUCCGUGCCAGCAGCCGCGGUAAUACGGAGGAUGCGAGCGUUAUCCGGAUUUAUUGGGUUUAAAGGGUGCGUAGGCGGCGGUGCAAGUCAGCGGUAAAAGCCCGGGGCUCAACCCCGGCGAGCCGUUGAAACUGCAGUGCUAGAGAAGGCGAGAGGUACGCGGAAUGCGCAGUGUAGCGGUGAAAUGCUUAGAUAUUGCGCAGAACUCCGAUUGCGAAGGCAGCGUACUGGCGCCUGACUGACGCUGAGGCACGAAAGCGUGGGGAUCGAACAGGAUUAGAUACC
rnacentral:rRNA from 1 species